rnacentral:rRNA from 1 species
AUUGAACGCUGGCGGCAGGCCUAACACAUGCAAGUCGAACGAGUGGCGGACGGGGGAGUAAUGUCUGGGAAACUGCCUGAUGGAGGGGGAUAACUCCGGGAAACGGUAGCUAAUACCGCAUAGCAACGGAUGUGCCCAGAAGGGAUUAGGUAGGAGGGGGGGUAAAGGCUCCCCUAGGCGACGAUCCCUAGCUGGUCUGAGAGGAUGACCAGCCACACUUGAACUGAGACACGGUCCAGACUCCUACGGGAGGCAGCAGUGGGGAAUAUUGCACAAUGGGCGCAAGCCUGAUGCAGCCAUGCCGCGUGUAUGAAGAAGGCCUUCGGUUUGUAAAGUACUUUCAGCGGGGAGGCGUUACCCGCAGAAUAAGCACCGGCUAACUCCGUGCCAGCAGCCGCGGUAAUUC